GCUAAUAUUUUUGAUAAUUUUGGAAACACCCUAAAACAUUUCGAAUUAGACAUGUGAAACAAAUUUAUGUCUUAUAUACUAUAUAUAUGGAACAUAAGGCUAAUUAUCAGU
rnacentral:rRNA from 1 species